AUAAAAUUAAUCCAUAAAUAUAUACAUACAUAAGUCACCAAAAAUAAACAGAAGCCCAUAUCUCUUACAUCAAAUAAAAUUAAUCCAUAAAUAUAUACAUACAUAAGUCACCAAAAAUAAACAGAAGCUUUUCAUCACAUAAAUAUAUACACAUAU